GCUUGGUUAGCUCAGUGGUUAGAGCACUCGCCUGAUAAGCGAGAGGUCAUUGGUUCAAUCCCAGUACCAAGCA
rnacentral:tRNA from 1 species